rnacentral:rRNA from 1 species
GGGUUGUGAGGUUAAGCGACUAAGCGUACACGGUGGAUGCCCUGGCAGUCAGAGGCGAUGAAGGACGUGCUAAUCUGCGAAAAGCGACGGUAAGGUGAUAUGAACCGCUACAGCCGUCGAUGUCCGAAUGGGGAAACCCAGUGUGUUUCGACACACUAUCGUUAACUGAAUACAUAGGUUAACGAGGCGAACCGGGGGAACUGAAACAUCUAAGUACCCCGAGGAAAAGAAAUCAACCGAGAUUCCCCCAGUAGCGGCGAGCGAACGGGGAGCAGCCCAGGACCUGAAUCAGCUUGUGCAUCAGUGGAAGCGUCUGGAAAGUCGCGCGAUACCGGGUGACAGCCCCGUACACGAAGAUGCACAGGUUGUGAGUCCGACGAGUAGGGCGGGACACGUGGUAUCCUGUCUGAACAUGGGGGGACCAUCCUCCAAGGCUAAAUACUCCUGACUGACCGAUAGUGAACCAGUACCGUGAGGGAAAGGCGAAAAGAACCCCGGCGAGGGGAGUGAAACAGAACCUGAAACCGUGUACGUACAAGCAGUGGGAGCCUACUUGUUAGGUGACUGCGUACCUUUUGUAUAAUGGGUCAGCGACUUAUAUUCUGUAGCAAGGUUAACCGCAUAGGGGAGCCGAAGGGAAACCGAGUCUUAAUUGGGCGUUAAGUUGCAGGGUAUAGACCCGAAACCCGGUGAUCUAGCCAUGGGCAGGUUGAAGGUUGGGUAACACUAACUGGAGGACCGAACCGACUAAUGUUGAAAAAUUAGCGGAUGACUUGUGGCUGGGGGUGAAAGGCCAAUCAAACCGGGAGAUAGCUGGUUCUCCCCGAAAGCUAUUUAGGUAGCGCCUCGUGAACUCAUCUCCGGGGGUAGAGCACUGUUUCGGCUAGGGGGCCAUCCCGGCUUACCAACCCGAUGCAAACUGCGAAUACCGGAGAAUGUUAUCACGGGAGACACACGGCGGGUGCUAACGUCCGUCGUGAAGAGGGAAACAACCCAGACCGCCAGCUAAGGUCCCAAAGUCAUGGUUAAGUGGGAAACGAUGUGGGAAGGCACAGACAGCCAGGAUGUUGGCUUAGAAGCAGCCAUCAUUUAAAGAAAGCGUAAUAGCUCACUGGUCGAGUCGGCCUGCGCGGAAGAUGUAACGGGGCUAAACCAUGCACCGAAGCUGCGGCAGCGACACUAUGUGUUGUUGGGUAGGGGAGCGUUCUGUAAGCCGCUGAAGGUGUGCUGUGAGGCAUGCUGGAGGUAUCAGAAGUGCGAAUGCUGACAUAAGUAACGAUAAAGCGGGUGAAAAGCCCGCUCGCCGGAAGACCAAGGGUUCCUGUCCAACGUUAAUCGGGGCAGGGUGAGUCGACCCCUAAGGCGAGGCUGAAAAGCGUAGUCGAUGGGAAACAGGUUAAUAUUCCUGUACUUGGUGUUACUGCGAAGGGGGGACGGAGAAGGCUAGGUUAUCCGGGCGACGGUUGUCCCGGUUUAAGCGUGCAGGUGUGAAGACCAGGCAAAUCCGGUCUUCUUUAACACUGAGGCGUGACGACGAGCCGCCACGGCGGUGAAGUAACUGAUGCCCUGCUUCCAGGAAAAGCCUCUAAGCUCCAGGUAACACGAAAUCGUACCCCAAACCGACACAGGUGGUCAGGUAGAGAAUACCAAGGCGCUUGAGAGAACUCGGGUGAAGGAACUAGGCAAAAUGGUGCCGUAACUUCGGGAGAAGGCACGCUGGCGCGUAGGUGA